AGAGUUUGAUCAUGGCUCAGGAUGAACGCUAGCUACAGGCUUAACACAUGCAAGUCGAGGGGCAGCAUGAAGUUUGCUUGCAAACUUUGAUGGCGACCGGCGCACGGGUGAGUAACGCGUAUCCAACCUGCCCCGUACUCGGGUAUAGCCCAGCGAAAGCUGGAUUAAUCCCCGAUGUCACCAUUGUGGUGCAUGCCAUAUUGGUUAAAGUUAUUCGGUACGGGAUGGGGAUGCGUCUGAUUAGGUAGUAGGCGGGGUAACGGCCCACCUAGCCGACGAUCAGUAGGGGUUCUGAGAGGAAGGUCCCCCACACUGGAACUGAGACACGGUCCAGACUCCUACGGGAGGCAGCAGUGAGGAAUAUUGGUCAAUGGGCGAGAGCCUGAACCAGCCAAGUAGCGUGCAGGAUGACGGCCCUACGGGUUGUAAACUGCUUUUAUGCGGGAAUAAAGAUAUCUACGUGUAGAUAGUUGCAUGUACCGCAUGAAUAAGGACCGGCUAAUUCCGUGCCAGCAGCCGCGGUAAUACGGAAGGUCCGGGCGUUAUCCGGAUUUAUUGGGUUUAAAGGGAGCGUAGGCGGCCUUUUAAGCGUGCUGUGAAAUGUACCGGCUCAACCGGUGAAUUGCAGCGCGAACUGGAGGGCUUGAGUUCGCGGAAGGCAGGCGGAAUUCGUGGUGUAGCGGUGAAAUGCUUAGAUAUCACGAAGAACUCCGAUUGCGAAGGCAGCUUGCCGCAGCGUUACUGACGCUGAAGCUCGAAGGUGCGGGUAUCGAACAGGAUUAGAUACCCUGGUAGUCCGCACAGUAAACGAUGGAUGCCCGCUGUUCGCCCUUUUGGGUGAGUGGCCAAGCGAAAGCGUUAAGCAUCCCACCUGGGGAGUACGCCGGCAACGGUGAAACUCAAAGGAAUUGACGGGGGCCCGCACAAGCGGAGGAACAUGUGGUUUAAUUCGAUGAUACGCGAGGAACCUUACCCGGGCUUGAACUGCAGGAGAACGAUACAGAGAUGUUGAGGUCCUUCGGGACUCCUGCGGAGGUGCUGCAUGGUUGUCGUCAGCUCGUGCCGUGAGGUGUCGGCUUAAGUGCCAUAACGAGCGCAACCCUUGUCCUCAGUUGCCAUCAGUUCGGCUGGGCACUCUGUGGAUACUGCCACCGCAAGGUGUGAGGAAGGUGGGUAUGACGUCAAAUCAGCACGGCCCUUACGUCCGGGGCUACACACGUGUUACAAUGGCGCAUACAGAGAGUCGGCCGCCGGCAACGUCGGUCCAAUCCUUAAAAUGCGUCCUAGUUCGGAUUGGGGUCUGCAACCCGACCCCAUGAAGCUGGAUUCGCUAGUAAUCGCGCAUCAGCCAUGGCGCGGUGAAUACGUUCCCGGGCCUUGUACACACCGCCCGUCAAGCCAUGAAAGCCGGGGGCGCCUGAAGUCCGUGACCGCAAGGAUCGGCCUAGGGUGAAACUGGUAAUUGGGGCUAAGUCGUAACAAGGUAGCCGUACCGGAAGGUGCGGCUGGAACACCUCCUU
rnacentral:rRNA from 1 species